GAUUCGUCACACUAUCAUUAACUGAAUCCAUAGGUUAAUGAGGCGAACCGGGGGAACUGAAACAUCUAAGUACCCCGAGGAAAAGAAAUCAACCGAGAUUCCCCCAGUAGCGGCGAGCGAACGGGGAGGAGCCCAGAGCCUGAAUCAGCAUGUGUGUUAGUGGAAGCGUCUGGAAAGGCGCGCGAUACAGGGUGACAGCCCCGUACACAAAAGCGCAUGUGCUGUGAGCUCGAUGAGUAGGGCGGGACACGUGGUAUCCUGUCUGAAUAUGGGGGGACCAUCCUCCAAGGCUAAAUACUCCUGACUGACCGAUAGUGAACCAGUACCGUGAGGGAAAGGCGAAAAGAACCCCGGCGAGGGGAGUGAAAAAGAACCUGAAACCGUGUACGUACAAGCAGUGGGAGCACCCUUCGGGGUGUGACUGCGUACCUUUUGUAUAAUGGGUCAGCGACUUAUAUUCUGUAGCAAGGUUAACCGUAUAGGGGAGCCGGAGGGAAACCGAGUCUUAACCGGGCGUUAAGUUGCAGGGUAUAGACCCGAAACCCGGUGAUCUAGCCAUGGGCAGGUUGAAGGUUGGGUAACACUAACUGGAGGACCGAACCGACUAAUGUUGAAAAAUUAGCGGAUGACCUGUGGCUGGGGGUGAAAGGCCAAUCAAACCGGGAGAUAGCUGGUUCUCCCCGAAAGCUAUUUAGGUAGCGCCUCGUGAAUUCAUCUCCGGGGGUAGAGCACUGUUUCGGCUAGGGGGCCAUCCCGGCUUACCAACCCGAUGCAAACUGCGAAUACCGGAGAAUGUUAUCACGGGAGACACACGGCGGGUGCUAACGUCCGUCGUGAAGAGGGAAACAACCCAGACCGCCAGCUAAGGUCCCAAAGUCAUGGUUAAGUGGGAAACGAUGUGGGAAGGCCCAGACAGCCAGGAUGUUGGCUUAGAAGCAGCCAUCAUUUAAAGAAAGCGUAAUAGCUCACUGGUCGAGUCGGCCUGCGCGGAAGAUGUAACGGGGCUAAACCAUGCACCGAAGCUGCGGCAGCGAACGUAUCACCCAAGACAACUUUACGGAGUUGACGAUUGACGGAGCGAAGCGACGUCAAAGCGUUCAUUAAAGUCGAGUUGGCUUAGGGAUACGUUCGUUGGGUAGGGGAGCGUUCUGUAAGCCUGUGAAGGUGUGUCGUGAGGCAUGCUGGAGGUAUCAGAAGUGCGAAUGCUGACAUAAGUAACGAUAAAGCGGGUGAAAAGCCCGCUCGCCGGAAGACCAAGGGUUCCUGUCCAACGUUAAUCGGGGCAGGGUGAGUCGACCCCUAAGGCGAGGCCGAAAGGCGUAGUCGAUGGGAAACGGGUUAAUAUUCCCGUACUUGGUGUUACUGCGAAGGGGGGACGGAGAAGGCUAUGUUGGCCGGGCGACGGUUGUCCCGGUUUAAGCGUGUAGGUGUGUGUUCCAGGUAAAUCCGGUUCACUUUAACACUGAGGCGUGACGACGAGGCACUACGGUGCUGAAGCAACAAAUGCCCUGCUUCCAGGAAAAGCCUCUAAGCAUCAGGUAACAUCAAAUCGUACCCCAAACCGACACAGGUGGUCAGGUAGAGAAUACCAAGGCGCUUGAGAGAACUCGGGUGAAGGAACUAGGCAAAAUGGUGCCGUAACUUCGGGAGAAGGCACGCUGACACGUAGGUGAAGUGAUUUACUCAUGGAGCUGAAGUCAGUCGAAGAUACCAGCUGGCUGCAACUGUUUAUUAAAAACACAGCACUGUGCAAACACGAAAGUGGACGUAUACGGUGUGACGCCUGCCCGGUGCCGGAAGGUUAAUUGAUGGGGUCAGCGCAAGCGAAGCUCCUGAUCGAAGCCCCGGUAAACGGCGGCCGUAACUAUAACGGUCCUAAGGUAGCGAAAUUCCUUGUCGGGUAAGUUCCGACCUGCACGAAUGGCGUAAUGAUGGCCAGGCUGUCUCCACCCGAGACUCAGUGAAAUUGAACUCGCUGUGAAGAUGCAGUGUACCCGCGGCAAGACGGAAAGACCCCGUGAACCUUUACUAUAGCUUGACACUGAACAUUGAGCCUUGAUGUGUAGGAUAGGUGGGAGGCUUUGAAGUGUGGACGCCAGUCUGCAUGGAGCCGACCUUGAAAUACCACCCUUUAAUGUUUGAUGUUCUAACGUGGACCCGUAAUCCGGGUUGCGGACAGUGUCUGGUGGGUAGUUUGACUGGGGCGGUCUCCUCCUAAAGAGUAACGGAGGAGCACGAAGGUUGGCUAAUCCUGGUCGGACAUCAGGAGGUUAGUGCAAUGGCAUAAGCCAGCUUGACUGCGAGCGUGACGGCGCGAGCAGGUGCGAAAGCAGGUCAUAGUGAUCCGGUGGUUCUGAAUGGAAGGGCCAUCGCUCAACGGAUAAAAGGUACUCCGGGGAUAACAGGCUGAUACCGCCCAAGAGUUCAUAUCGACGGCGGUGUUUGGCACCUCGAUGUCGGCUCAUCACAUCCUGGGGCUGAAGUAGGUCCCAAGGGUAUGGCUGUUCGCCAUUUAAAGUGGUACGCGAGCUGGGUUUAGAACGUCGUGAGACAGUUCGGUCCCUAUCUGCCGUGGGCGCUGGAGAACUGAGGGGGGCUGCUCCUAGUACGAGAGGACCGGAGUGGACGCAUCACUGGUGUUCGGGUUGUCAUGCCAAUGGCACUGCCCGGUAGCUAAAUGCGGAAGAGAUAAGUGCUGAAAGCAUCUAAGCACGAAACUUGCCCCGAGAUGAGUUCUCCCUGAGACUUAGAGUCUCCUGAAGGAACGUUGAAGACG
rnacentral:rRNA from 1 species